CUAAGGACAAGCUGUGAUGGGGAGCGAAAUUUAGUAGCGAAGUUCCUGAUGUCACACUGCCAAGAAAAGCUUCUAGUGAGAAAGUAACUGCCCGUACCGCAAACCGACACAGGUAGUUGAGGAGAGAAUCCUAAGGUGUGCGAGAGAACUCUCGUUAAGGAACUCGGCAAAAUGACCCCGUAACUUCGGGAGAAGGGGUGCUGACCGCAAGGUCAGCCGCAGUGAAUAGGCCCAAGCGACUGUUUAUCAAAAACACAGGUCUCUGCAAAAUCGAAAGAUGACGUAUAGGGGCUGACGCCUGCCCGGUGCUGGAAGGUUAAGAGGAGAGGUUAGCGCAAGCGAAGCUUUGAAUUGAAGCCCCAGUAAACGGCGGCCGUAACUAUAACGGUCCUAAGGUAGCGAAAUUCCUUGUCGGGUAAGUUCCGACCCGCACGAAAGGCGUAACGAUUUGGGCACUGUCUCAACGAGAGACUCGGUGAAAUUAUAGUACCAGUGAAGAUGCUGGUUACCCGCGACAGGACGGAAAGACCCCAUGGAGCUUUACUGCAGUUUGAUAUUGCGUGUUUGUAUCACAUGUACAGGAUAGGUAGGAGCCGAAGAUACCGGGACGCCAGUCUCGGAGGAGGCAACGGUGGGAUACUACCCUUGUGAUAUGACCACUCUAACCCGCUGCUCUUAGCGAGCAGGGAGACAGUGUCAGACGGGCAGUUUGACUGGGGCGGUCGCCUCCAAAAAUGUAACGGAGGCGCCCAAAGGUUCCCUCAGAAUGGUUGGAAAUCAUUCGUAGAGUGUAAAGGCAGAAGGGAGCUUGACUGCGAGACCUACAAGUCGAGCAGGGACGAAAGUCGGGCUUAGUGAUCCGGUGGUUCCGCAUGGAAGGGCCAUCGCUCAACGGAUAAAAGCUACCCUGGGGAUAACAGGCUUAUCUCCCCCAAGAGUUCACAUCGACGGGGAGGUUUGGCACCUCGAUGUCGGCUCAUCGCAUCCUGGGGCUGUAGUCGGUCCCAAGGGUUGGGCUGUUCGCCCAUUAAAGCGGUACGCGAGCUGGGUUCAGAACGUCGUGAGACAGUUCGGUCCCUAUCCGUCGCGGGCGUUGGAAAUUUGAGAGGAGCUGUCCUUAGUACGAGAGGACCGGGAUGGACACACCGCUGGUGUACCAGUUGUUCUGCCAAGAGCAUCGCUGGGUAGCUAUGUGUGGACGGGAUAAACGCUGAAAGCAUCUAAGCGUGAAGCCCCCCUCAAGAUGAGAUUUCCCAUCACUUUAAGUGAGUAAGACCCCUGAGAGAUGAUCAGGUAGAUAGGUUGGGAGUGGAAGUACAGCGAUGUAUGGAGCGGACCAAUACUAAUCGGUCGAGGACUUAAUC
rnacentral:rRNA from 1 species